rnacentral:rRNA from 5 species
UUUGGUGGCUGUUGAAGCGGUGUUACACCUGUUCCCAUCCCGAACACAGCAGUUAAGCCCGCUAUCGCCAAUGGUAGUCGAAAGGCAAGAGUAGGUCGCCGCCAAAA